rnacentral:rRNA from 1 species
AGCGUACACGGUGGAUGCCCUGGCAGUCAGAGGCGAUGAAGGACGUGCUAAUCUGCGAUAAGCGUCGGUAAGGUGAUAUGAACCGUUAUAACCGGCGAUUUCCGAAUGGGGAAACCCAGUGUGUUUCGACACACUAUCAUUAACUGAAUCCAUAGGUUAAUGAGGCGAACCGGGGGAACUGAAACAUCUAAGUACCCCGAGGAAAAGAAAUCAACCGAGAUUCCCCCAGUAGCGGCGAGCGAACGGGGAGCAGCCCAGAGCCUGAAUCAGUGUGUGUGUUAGUGGAAGCGUCUGGAAAGGCGCGCGAUACAGGGUGACAGCCCCGUACACAAAAAUGCACAUGCUGUGAGCUCGAUGAGUAGGGCGGGACACGUGGUAUCCUGUCUGAAUAUGGGGGGACCAUCCUCCAAGGCUAAAUACUCCUGACUGACCGAUAGUGAACCAGUACCGUGAGGGAAAGGCGAAAAGAACCCCGGCGAGGGGAGUGAAAAAGAACCUGAAACCGUGUACGUACAAGCAGUGGGAGCACAGAGCAAUCUGUGUGACUGCGUACCUUUUGUAUAAUGGGUCAGCGACUUAUAUUCUGUAGCAAGGUUAACCGAAUAGGGGAGCCGAAGGGAAACCGAGUCUUAACUGGGCGUUAAGUUGCAGGGUAUAGACCCGAAACCCGGUGAUCUAGCCAUGGGCAGGUUGAAGGUUGGGUAACACUAACUGGAGGACCGAACCGACUAAUGUUGAAAAAUUAGCGGAUGACUUGUGGCUGGGGGUGAAAGGCCAAUCAAACCGGGAGAUAGCUGGUUCUCCCCGAAAGCUAUUUAGGUAGCGCCUCGUGAAUUCAUCUCCGGGGGUAGAGCACUGUUUCGGCAAGGGGGUCAUCCCGACUUACCAACCCGAUGCAAACUGCGAAUACCGGAGAAUGUUAUCACGGGAGACACACGGCGGGUGCUAACGUCCGUCGUGAAGAGGGAAACAACCCAGACCGCCAGCUAAGGUCCCAAAGUCAUGGUUAAGUGGGAAACGAUGUGGGAAGGCCCAGACAGCCAGGAUGUUGGCUUAGAAGCAGCCAUCAUUUAAAGAAAGCGUAAUAGCUCACUGGUCGAGUCGGCCUGCGCGGAAGAUGUAACGGGGCUAAACCAUGCACCGAAGCUGCGGCAGCGACGCUUAUGCGUUGUUGGGUAGGGGAGCGUUCUGUAAGCCUGUGAAGGUGUACUGUGAGGUAUGCUGGAGGUAUCAGAAGUGCGAAUGCUGACAUAAGUAACGAUAAAGCGGGUGAAAAGCCCGCUCGCCGGAAGACCAAGGGUUCCUGUCCAACGUUAAUCGGGGCAGGGUGAGUCGACCCCUAAGGCGAGGCCGAAAGGCGUAGUCGAUGGGAAACAGGUUAAUAUUCCUGUACUUGGUGUUACUGCGAAGGGGGGACGGAGAAGGCUAUGUUGGCCGGGCGACGGUUGUCCCGGUUUAAGCGUGUAGGCUGGUUUUCCAGGCAAAUCCGGAAAAUCAAGGCUGAGGCGUGAUGACGAGGCACUACGGUGCUGAAGCAACAAAUGCCCUGCUUCCAGGAAAAGCCUCUAAGCAUCAGGUAACAUCAAAUCGUACCCCAAACCGACACAGGUGGUCAGGUAGAGAAUACCAAGGCGCUUGAGAGAACUCGGGUGAAGGAACUAGGCAAAAUGGUGCCGUAACUUCGGGAGAAGGCACGCUGAUAUGUAGGUGAAGCGACUUGCUCGUGGAGCUGAAAUCAGUCGAAGAUACCAGCUGGCUGCAACUGUUUAUUAAAAACACAGCACUGUGCAAACACGAAAGUGGACGUAUACGGUGUGACGCCUGCCCGGUGCCGGAAGGUUAAUUGAUGGGGUUAGCGGUAACGCGAAGCUCUUGAUCGAAGCCCCGGUAAACGGCGGCCGUAACUAUAACGGUCCUAAGGUAGCGAAAUUCCUUGUCGGGUAAGUUCCGACCUGCACGAAUGGCGUAAUGAUGGCCAGGCUGUCUCCACCCGAGACUCAGUGAAAUUGAACUCGCUGUGAAGAUGCAGUGUACCCGCGGCAAGACGGAAAGACCCCGUGAACCUUUACUAUAGCUUGACACUGAACAUUGAGCCUUGAUGUGUAGGAUAGGUGGGAGGCUUUGAAGUGUGGACGCCAGUCUGCAUGGAGCCGACCUUGAAAUACCACCCUUUAAUGUUUGAUGUUCUAACGUUGGCCCCUGAUCGGGGUUGCGGACAGUGUCUGGUGGGUAGUUUGACUGGGGCGGUCUCCUCCUAAAGAGUAACGGAGGAGCACGAAGGUUGGCUAAUCCUGGUCGGACAUCAGGAGGUUAGUGCAAUGGCAUAAGCCAGCUUGACUGCGAGCGUGACGGCGCGAGCAGGUGCGAAAGCAGGUCAUAGUGAUCCGGUGGUUCUGAAUGGAAGGGCCAUCGCUCAACGGAUAAAAGGUACUCCGGGGAUAACAGGCUGAUACCGCCCAAGAGUUCAUAUCGACGGCGGUGUUUGGCACCUCGAUGUCGGCUCAUCACAUCCUGGGGCUGAAGUAGGUCCCAAGGGUAUGGCUGUUCGCCAUUUAAAGUGGUACGCGAGCUGGGUUUAGAACGUCGUGAGACAGUUCGGUCCCUAUCUGCCGUGGGCGCUGGAGAACUGAGGGGGGCUGCUCCUAGUACGAGAGGACCGGAGUGGACGCAUCACUGGUGUUCGGGUUGUCAUGCCAAUGGCACUGCCCGGUAGCUAAAUGCGGAAGAGAUAAGUGCUGAAAGCAUCUAAGCACGAAACUUGCCCCGAGAUGAGUUCU